CAAUAGCGUAUAUUAAAGUUGUUGCAGUUAAAAAGCUCGUAGUUGGAUUUCUGGUAGGAGUGACCGUUCCGAACUUGAUUGUUCGUGUAUUGUGUUUUCUCCAGCCAUCCUUGUGGAGAACUUUUCUUGCAUUAAUUUGUAGGGAUUGGGACCCGCAUCGUUUACUGUGAAAAAAUUAGAGUGUUUAAAGCAGGCAAUCGCUUGAAUACAUUAGCAUGAAAUAAUAAGAUAGGACUUUGGUACUAUUUUGUUGGUUUGCAUACCAAAUUAAUGAUCAACAGGAACAGUUUGAGGAUAUUCGUAUGAACAUGUCAGAGGUGAAAUUCUUGGAUUUUGAUCAGACGAACUACUGCGAAAGCAUUUAUCAAGGAUGUUUUCAUUAA
rnacentral:rRNA from 1 species